CACGUAGGGCGCAAGCGUUGUCCGGAAUUACUGGGCGUAAAGAGCUCGUAGGUGGUUUGUCGCGUUGUCCGUGAAAACUCACAGCUUAACUGUGGGCGUGCGGGCGAUACGGGCAGACUGGAGUACUGCAGGGGAGACUGGAAUUCCUGGUGUAGCGGUGAAAUGCGCAGAUAUCAGGAGGAACACCGGUGGCGAAGGCGGGUCUCUGGGCCGAUACUGACGCUGAGGAGCGAAAGCGUGGGGAGCGAACAGG
rnacentral:rRNA from 1 species